rnacentral:rRNA from 1 species
CUACGGGGGGCUGCAGUGAGGAAUUUUGCGCAAUGGGGGAAACCCUGACGCAGCAACGCCGCGUGAGCGAAGAAGGCCCUCGGGUCGUAAAGCUCUGUCAAGUGGGAAAAAAAUCUUUUGAUCAAUAGUCAAAAGACUUGAUGGUACCACUGGAGGAAGCACCGGCUAACUCCGUGCCAGCAGCCGCGGUAAUACGGAGGGUGCAAGCGUUGUUCGGAUUUACUGGGCGUAAAGAGCGUGUAGGCGGUUUAGCAAGUCAGAUGUGAAAGCCCUGGGCUCAACCCGGGAAGUGCAUUUGAAACUGCUUCACUAGAGUAUGGGAGAGGAGAUUGGAAUUCCUGGUGUAGAGGUGAAAUUCGUAGAUAUCAGGAGGUACACCCGUGGCGAAGGCGAUUCUCUGGACCAAUACUGACGCUGAGACGCGAAAGCGUGGGGAGCAAACAGGAUUAGAUACCCUUGUAGUC